GCUCAUGGACGAAAUCCGGGGUAGCGAAGAGGAUUAGAUACCCUCGUAGUCCUGGCCGUAAACGGUGUGCACUUGAUGUUGGAGGUUUACCCCGUUCAGUGUCGGAGCUAACGGUGUUAAGUGCACCGCCUGGGAAGUACGGCCGCAAGGUUAAAACUCAAAGGAAUUGACGGGUGGCCCGCACAAGCGGUGGAGCAUGUGGCUUAAUUCGAUGCAACGCGAAGAACCUUACCAGGGCUUGACAUGUAACUGCAUACCACGUGAAAGCGAGGUAGCCUUCGAGGGUGUUACACGGGUGCUGCAUGGCUGUCGUCAGCUCGUGCCGUGAGGUGUUGGGUUAAGUCCCGCAACGAGCGCAACCCUUAUGUUUAGUUGCCAGCACAUAAUGGUGGGAACUCUAAACAGACUGCCUGUGAAAGCAGGAGGAAGGUGGGGAUGACGUCAAGUCAGUAUGGUCCUUAUGUCCUGGGCUGCACACGUGCUACAAUGGCUGGUACAGAAGGAAGCAAUACCGCGAGGUGGAGCAAAUCCCCAAAACCAGCCCCAGUUCGGAUUGGAGUCCGAAAUUCGACUCCAUGAAGUUGGAAUCGCUAGUAAAGGCGUAUCAGCUACGACGCCUUGAAUACGUUCCCGGGCCUUGUACACACCGCCCGUCACGUCAUGGAGUCUGCUGCACCCGAAGUCGCUGAUCUAACCAAUUACUUGGAGGAAGCGCCGAAGGUGUGCC
rnacentral:rRNA from 1 species